UGGAUACUCCUUUCUAGGAUAAGGAAGUACGUUUGGAAGUCUUAUUUAGUUUUGAGAGGUCUUAAAAAGUAAAGAGAACGUUAAGAAAUCUGUAUGAAAAUAGGAAAGAGACGCAGUGUCAAAAGACACAAGGAAGUUUAUCAUUUUCACUAAGAUUUUAGUUCGAAUACAAUUUAGAUCCAUAAUAUAGUAUGAGUAACAAGAUAAGAAACGUUAACAUAUUAACUGUGGGGCCUUAGCUCAGCUGGGAGAGCGCCUGCUUUGCACGCAGGAGGUCAGCGGUUCGAUCCCGCUAGGCUCCAUAGACAAGGAAGUCUCUAAAAUACGUGAAGUCCAUUGAAAAUUGAAUAUCUAUAUCAAAUUCCACGAUCAUGAAAAUGAUUGUAGAAAAAGUAACAAGAAAUAAACCGAAAAAAAAGAUAAACGCGAACAUAUUAAAAAAAAUAAAGAAGGUCGAAAGACUGGAAAUAAGGUUAAGUUAAUAAGGGCGCACGGUGGAUGCCUUGGCACUAGAAGCCGAAAAAAGGACGUAAA
rnacentral:tRNA from 1 species